GGGCCACCAGCCCAGCUCCUGCGUCCUGACCUCCACAGGAGGACUGCCUAGCCCAGCCCACGGGGCCAUCCUCGGCCUGCCUCCCACUGCUGUUUCUCCAGCCCUUACCUCUCAGACGCAGAGGGUUUGUGUCAUUCCAGGUUCACAGGGUCCAUAAAAGCCUGCCCAGCUGCCCAGAGAGGUGACCCCUUCAAGCCUGACCGACCGUGUUGACGUUCUGCCGGCAAUUGUCUGCAGAGGAGCCCUUGUGCCCCUUUUGAAGUUCAGUGGAGUGAAGUGUAAUCUAAGUGAGCUGGAACACGUUUUGAUAAAGCAGCUUCCAUGGCCAGGGGCCUCCUUUUGGCAAAGCCAUUAACAUGGGAAGCUGAGCCGGGGCUGAGCUUUUCGUCUGGGCCCGCCAGCCCGUCCCCUGGCCUUUGAUCACAGGACAUUAAGAUACUUGCGCACAGAGCAGUAGUUCAGUUCUGACCUCCUUGUUUUCCAGAUGGGGAAACUGAGGCCCAGAGAGGAGGAGCGACUUGCCUGAGGUCACACAGCUGGUGAGGGGCAGGGUCAGUGCUGGGACCCUUGUCCACACCAGCCAGGCCUUCCUCGGGCUGUACAAAAUGGUGGGUGGUCAGUGACAAAAAAGAGAAUGCAGAGGACGACGCAAUAGGGAAGAAUCAGGCUCCCUCCCUGGGGAAGGCUGGCAGACCCUGGCAUCUGCACGCCAGCCAGGUGGGCCGAGAUAGGAAGGAAUCACAGCUAAGCCUGGUUAACACCCACAGCCUCAUCAAAGCACGGCUGCAUUGUUGGUCUCAUACGCUCGUCUCGUCAGGGUUGGCGUCUUGCUGACGGGUGAAAGGGACCUGCUCAAGGCCGCACAGGGCAGGCACUGCUGAGGGGACAUAUUGCCCUGGAAAAGGGCUUUAAAGGUCACUUGGAUGAUGAACAGGGGCAGAGCUAGGAGACUCAGAUCUCAUGAGGCGGUUAUGAGGAUGAAAUGGGUGCUUAGAAGAGCACCCGGCCGGUACGCGCUCACCGAGCUCACCACCACCAUCAGGACGUCUGUCACUCCCAUCCACCCUCAGGGCUGAUUCUCCCAGUGGGGUCGGGUCCCUCUUCCCUCACCCGGAGAGAAAAGGAGGGCUCCUGUAGCAAAGGCUGGACUCAUAGCUGGGCUUCUGGCCCAUGCUUCCAAACCCACUGACUGGAGGCCACUGGAGCGUCCCAUGGGAGCUCUGAGCGGGUGAGUGGCCCCCAUGAUGGCGGAAGCCUGGCCACAUGCUCUGAGGGGUCCGGCCUGUCCUCCGGCUCUCCAGCUGCCUCAAAUCCCCCAGCUUUCAGAGCAUCUGAGGAAGGGAUCCGGUCCUACGAAUCCCCACUUCCUGGUCUCUGGGGAGGCUUCUCAGGAGCCGAGGGCUGGAGAAGGGCUCCCCCAGCCCUCACUGCCAGCCAUGCUCCCAGAACAGGACAACAGGGUAUGAUUCCCAUGAGCUGGGUGAGUCAGGACAGGAGGCAGGGAGACGUGGUCUUUCUUCUCAGCCUCAGACUCUCAGUGUGCAGCUCUCGGGUGGCAGAUGGUUCCUCCCCAUGAUGUCUAACUGCUGUUAGAAGGAGCUGGCGUUCCUAGAGACUGAUGGGGUGGAGAGAGCCCAAGAU
ensembl:lncRNA